rnacentral:rRNA from 1 species
GACGAACGCUGGCGGCGUGCUUAACACAUGCAAGUCGAACGGAAAGGCCCUGCUUUUGUGGGGUGCUCGAGUGGCGAACGGGUGAGUAACACGUGAGUAACCUGCCCUUGACUUUGGGAUAACUUCAGGAAACUGGGGCUAAUACCGGAUAGGAGCUCCUGCUGCAUGGUGGGGGUUGGAAAGUUUCGGCGGUUGGGGAUGGACUCGCGGCUUAUCAGCUUGUUGGUGGGGUAGUGGCUUACCAAGGCUUUGACGGGUAGCCGGCCUGAGAGGGUGACCGGCGCCACAAGGAGUGAGAGACGCCGCGGACUCCAAUGCGAGGGGGCGGAGUGGGGAAUAGUACAAUAUGCGGGGGCGAGUUGUGCAGCAGCGGCGCGCGGGAUGACGGCAUUCGGGUUGUAAACCGCUUUCGCCUGUGACGAAGCGUGAGUGACGGUAAUGGGUAAAGAAGCACCGGCUAACUACGUG